GUGCUCGCUUCGGCAGCACAUAUACUAAAAUUGAAAUGAUACAAAGAAGAUUAGCAUGGCCCCUGCACAAGGAUGACAUGCAAAUUCAUGAAGCGUUCCAUAUUUUU
ensembl:snRNA U6 U6 spliceosomal RNA